UACGUAGGGGGCAAGCGUUAUCCGGAUUUACUGGGUGUAAAGGGAGCGCAGGCGGCAGGGCAAGUCAGAUGUGAAAUCCCGGGGCCCAACCCCGGAACUGCAUUUGAAACUGUCCGGCUUGAGUACAGGAGAGGCAGGCGGAAUUCCUAGUGUAGCGGUGAAAUGCGUAGAUAUUAGGAGGAACACCAGUGGCGAAGGCGGCCUGCUGGACUGUAACUGACGCUGAGGCUCGAAAGCGUGGGGAGCAAAC
rnacentral:rRNA from 1 species